UACGUAGGGUGCGAGCGUUGUCCGGAAUUAUUGGGCGUAAAGGGCUCGUAGGCGGUUUGUCGCGUUGGGAGUGAAAACUCAGGGCUUAACCCUGAGCCUGCUUCCGAUACGGGCAGACUAGAGGUAUGCAGGGGAGAACGGAAUUCCUGGUGUAGCGGUGAAAUGCGCAGAUAUCAGGAGGAACACCUGCGGCGAAGGCGGGUUGCUGGGCUGACACUGACGCUGAGGCGCGAAAGCUAGGGGAGCGAACGGG
rnacentral:rRNA from 1 species